rnacentral:rRNA from 1 species
AGAAUCAACGCUGGCGGCGUGCCUAACACAUGCAAGUCGCACGAGAAAGGGGAGCAAUCCCUGAGUACAGUGGCGCACGGGUGAGUAACACGUGAAUGAUCUACCUCCGAGUGGGGAAUAACUGAGAGAAAUCUUGGCUAAUACCGCAUAAUACCCACGGGUCAAAGCAGCAAUGCGCUUGGAGAGGAGUUCGCGGCCGAUUAGCUAGUUGGCGGGGUAAUGGCCCACCAAGGCGAUGAUCGGUAUCCGGCCUGAGAGGGCGCACGGGACACACUGGAACUGAAACACGGUCCAGACUCCUACGGGAGGCAGCAGUGGGGAAUUUUGCGCAAUGGGGGAAACCCUGACGCAGCAACGCCGCGUGGAGGAUGAAGCCCCUUGGGUGUAACUCCUUUCGAUCGGGAAGAUAAUGACGGUACCGAUAUAAGAAGCCCGGCUAACUUCGUGCCAGCAGCCGC